AUGCGGCCUCCGUGUGCGCGUGCCUUGCCCUGCCAGCACCCGGCGGCCGGCGGGGGGGGGGGGUCUCCCUGCGCGUGGCGGGCCGUACCCCCCGACGUGUGGCCGCCUUCAGUCCCAAGCCGACCUGCUCGGAACGAAACACUGAAAUGGCUCCUUAGUGGCGUUUACGUUCGUUACCCGACGACACCUCAUCGCCCGCGUGGAUGCAGUGAGCACCCUGGGGUUUGCCCUUCCCGUGGGGUUACUUGGGAGCGUGAAAGCACAUGUGGGGCUCGCAUCUCGCCUCCGUGGAGCAGCACUGCCCCCGGCGCACCCUCACCGGUGACCCGGAGGUCGGUGCUUGUCUGCGCCCGGGCGGCCGCCGCAGGGAGUCCCGUGCACCCUCCGCAUCGCCCUCGGGGCUUCCACCCGGUGGCUUGGUCCUGGCAGGACAGGCUCAGGGAACGAGGCGAGGAAGGCGCGUCCCACUCACGUUGGGGUCCGGCCGGGAAUGCUACCGCAGGCGACGCCAGCACCCUCGGGGCCGGGCACAGGAUGCCGCCUGCCCAGGGUGCGGGGCCACGUGGGCCGAGACGCCCCGUCGCCCGUCAGGAGCCAGCAGAGGCUGCACCCGGGAGCACGAGCGCUCGGAUCCCGGGGCUGCGCCCGCCCCUGCACCCACCUGCCUCACCGUGUUCGCUUGACUCUUUCAGGUUCGUCCCCGCUUCCCGCCUGAAGGCGACGGUGGCCCACAGCACGUCCGACCGGAUUUUUAUCCUGACGCCCUGGCUAAGCCCCUGAUGACUCCCUGGCUUGAAAGGAGCAGCUCUGACCCAGUUAUUCGGCUUCCGUCGUGUCUCUGUAACGAGAGCCCUCGCGGUGAAGGCCUCAGCCACCGGCUUGUUCACCACGCGUGGCUCGUGUCCCCGUGGCUCUGGAUUCCCACCCCCAAGUGGAGGGCGCCGUCGCAUUGGUACGAGCGAUGCAUUAAGACUUGGUCCUUUCUCUGCUCUCAGAAGCCCUGA
rnacentral:lncRNA from 12 species